rnacentral:misc_RNA from 1 species
AAUAAGAAAUACUACAUAGAUAUUGUGGAAACGAAGCCUUCUUCUGCAAUUAGUAUUAUUGAGACAGAUUGUGAAGUCGAUUUUGCACCUCCGCUUGACUAUAAAGAGCCUGAGCGAGUGCAACCGUCUGUUCCUCCAAGCAAAAUGCCUGCACAAGCUCCAGCUGCAGAACCUGAACCAGAGCCAAGAUUCAGCCCCUUCACCGGAUCUGGAAGGCGGCUGGAUGGAAAGCCGUCGAAGAAUCAGGUCCCG